UACGAAGGGGGCUAGCGUUGCUCGGAAUCACUGGGCGUAAAGGGUGCGUAGGCGGCUUUUUAAGUCAGGGGUGAAAUCCUGGAGCUCAACUCCAGAACUGCCUUUGAUACUGGGAAGCUUGAGUCCGGAAGAGGUGAGUGGAAUUGCGAGUGUAGAGGUGAAAUUCGUAGAUAUUCGCAAGAACACCAGUGGCGAAGGCGGCUCACUGGCCCGAUACUGACGCUGAGGCACGAAAGCGUGGGGAGCAAACAGG
rnacentral:rRNA from 1 species